GAUGAACGCUGGCAGCGUGCCUAAUACAUGCAAGUCGAGCGAACAGAUAAGGAGCUUGCUCCUUUGAAGUUAGCGGCGGACGGGUGAGUAACACGUGGGUAACCUACCUAUAAGACUGGGAUAACUUCGGGAAACCGGAGCUAAUACCGGAUAACAUUUAGAACCGCAUGGUUCUAAAGUGAAAGAUGGUUUUGCUAUCACUUAUAGAUGGACCCGCGCCGUAUUAGCUAGUUGGUAAGGUAACGGCUUACCAAGGCGACGAUACGUAGCCGACCUGAGAGGGUGAUCGGCCACACUGGAACUGAGACACGGUCCAGACUCCUACGGGAGGCAGCAGUAGGGAAUCUUCCGCAAUGGGCGAAAGCCUGACGGAGCAACGCCGCGUGAGUGAUGAAGGGUUUCGGAUCGUAAAACUCUGUUAUUAGGGAAGAACAAAUGUGUAAGUAACUGUGCACAUCUUGACGGUACCUAAUCAGAAAGCCACGGCUAACUACGUG
rnacentral:rRNA from 1 species